UACGGGGGGGGCAAGGCGUUGUCCGGAAUCAUUGGGCGUAAAGAGCGUGUAGGCGGACUGGAAGGUCUGGUGUGAAAGCCCGGGGCUCAACCCCGGAGGGUCACUGGAAACCGUCAGUCUUGAAUCUGGUAAGAGGCGUGUGGAAUUCCUGGUGUAGCGGUGAAAUGCGCAGAUAUCAGGAGGAACACCAAUUGCGAAGGCAGCUCGCUGGGACGUUACUGACGCUGAGACGCGAAAGCGUGGGGAGCAAACAGG
rnacentral:rRNA from 1 species